rnacentral:misc_RNA from 1 species
AACGCAUCUUGCGCUCCUUGGUAUUCCGAGGAGCAUGCCUGUUUGAGUGUCAUUUAACUUCUCAACCACAUCAUUUGAUGUAUGUGGCUUGGACUUGGGGGUUGUUUGCAGGCUUUCACAAAGGUCGGCUCCCCUGAAAUGUAUUAGUGGUAUCUGAGCUCUAUUACCUUUGGUGUGAUAAUUAUCUAUGCCUUUGGUAUACUGCAUGAACAGAUUGUGCUGCUUUAAGAUGAAUUAUUUUUUUCUUGAUGAAUUUGACCUCAAAUCAGGUAGGACUACCCGCUGAACUUAA